rnacentral:rRNA from 1 species
UACGUAGGAUGCAAGCGUUGUCCGGAAUUAUUGGGCGUAAAGAGCGCGCAGGCGGUUUUGAGAAGUCAGAUGUGAAAGAGGCCGGCUUAACCGGCAAGGGUCAUUUGAAACUGACAGACUAGAGUACAGCAGAGGAUAGCGGAAUUCCCGGUGUAGUGGUGAAAUGCGUAGAUAUCGGGGAGGAACACCAGUGGCGGAAGGCGGCUAUCUGGGCUGAAAACUGACGCUGAGGCGCGAAGGCUAGGGUAGCAAACAGG